rnacentral:rRNA from 1 species
UACGGAGGGUGCAAGCGUUAAUCGGAAUUACUGGGCGUAAAGCGUACGUAGGCGGUUCGUUAAGUUAGAUGUGAAAGCCCCGGGCUUAACCUGGGAACUGCAUUUAAAACUGGCGAACUAGAGUUGAGUAGAGGGGAGUGGAAUUUCAGGUGUAGCGGUGAAAUGCGUAGAGAUCUGAAGGAACACCAGUGGCGAAGGCGACUCCCUGGACUCGAACUGACGCUGGGGUACGAAAGCGUGGGUAGCAAACGGGAUUAGAAACCCUAGUAGUCC